CGGUCCAGACUCCUACGGGAGGCAGCAGUGAGGAAUAUUGGGCAAUGGAGGCAACUCUGACCCAGCCAUGCCGCGUGAGUGAAGAAGGUUUUCGGAUUGUAAAGCUCUUUCGGAUGUGACGAUGAUGACGGUAGCAUCUAAAGAAGCCCCGGCUAACUUCGUGCCAGCAGCCGCGGUAAUACGAAGGGGGCGAGCGUUGUUCGGAAUUACUGGGCGUAAAGGGUGUGUAGGCGGUUAUGUAAGAUAGCGGUGAAAUCCCGGGGCUUAACCUCGGAAUAGCCGUUAUAACUAUGUAGCUAGAGUUAUGGAGAGGAUAGCGGAAUACCCAGUGUAGCGGUGAAAUGCGUAGAUAUUGGGUAGAACACCGGUGGCGAAGGCGGCUAUCUGGCCAUAUACUGACGCUGAGGCACGAAAGCAUGGGGAUCAAACAGGAUUAGAUACCCUGGUAGUCCAUGCUGUAAACGAUGAAUGCUGGUUGUCGGCUUUAGGGUCGGUGACGAAGUUAACGCGAUAAGCAUUCCGCCUGGGGAGUACGGUCGCAAGAUUAAAACUCAAAGGAAUUGACGGGGACCCGCACAAGCGGUGGAGCAUGUGGUUUAAUUCGAUGCAACGCGAAGAACCUUACCAACUCUUGACAUCCUUAUCGGGGGGCACAGAGAUGAGCCCUUUCAGUUAGGCUGGAUAAGUGACAGAUGCUGCAUGGCUGUCGUCAGCUCGUGUCGUGAGAUGUUGGGUUAAGUCCCGCAACGAGCGCAACCCCUGCUAUCAGUUGCCAGCGAGUAAAGUUGGGCACUCUGAUAGGACUGCCGGUGACAAGCCGGAGGAAGGUGGGGAUGACGUCAAGUCAUCAUGGCUCUUACGAGUUGGGCUACACACGUGCUACAAUGGCGUAAACAGAGGGGAGCGAGACCGCGAGGUUGAGCCAAUCUUAAAAAGUUAUCUCAGUUCGGAUUGUUCUCUGCAACUCGAGAACAUGAAGUUGGAAUCGCUAGUAAUCGCGGAUCAGCAUGCCGCGGUGAAUACGUUCCCGGGUCUUGUACACACCGCCCGUCACGCCAUGGGAGUUGGUUCUGCCUGACGGCGUUGAGGUAACCCGCAAGGGAGCCUGGCGACCACGGUAGGGUCAGCGACUGGGGCGAAGUCGUAACAAGGUAGCCGUAGGGGAACCUGCGGCUG
rnacentral:rRNA from 1 species